rnacentral:rRNA from 1 species
UACGGAGGGUGCAAACGUUGCUCGGAAUCAUUGGGCGUAAAGCGCACGUAGGCGGACCGCUAAGUCGGACGUGAAAUCCCUCGGCUUAACCGAGGAACUGCGUCCGAUACUGAAAGGCUUGAAUCCGGGAGAGGGAUGUGGAAUUCCAGGUGUAGCGGUGAAAUGCGUAGAUAUCUGGAGGAACACCGGUGGCGAAGGCGGCAUCCUGGACCGGUAUUGACGCUGAGGCGCGAAAGCUAGGGGAGCAAACGGG